rnacentral:rRNA from 1 species
AACGAACGCUGGCGGCAGGCUUAACACAUGCAAGUCGAGCGCCCCGCAAGGGGAGCGGCUGACGGGUGAGUAACGCGUGGGAACGUGCCCUUUGGUUCGGAACAACUCCGGGAAACUGGAGCUAAUACCGGAUAAGCCCUUCGGGGGAAAGAUUUAUCGCCAAAGGAUCGGCCCGCGUCUGAUUAGCUAGUUGGUGAGGUAAUGGCUCACCAAGGCGACGAUCAGUAGCUGGUCUGAGAGGAUGAUCAGCCACACUGGGACUGAGACACGGCCCAGACUCCUACGGGAGGCAGCAGUGGGGAAUAUUGGACAAUGGGCGCAAGCCUGAUCCAGCCAUGCCGCGUGAGUGAUGAAGGCCUUAGGGUUGUAAAGCUCUUUUGUCCGGGAAGAUAAUGACUGUACCGGAAGAAUAAGCCCCGGCUAACUUCGUGCCAGCAGCCGCAGUAACAC